UUGAUUCCACAAGGAACCUUGAAAUUACCCCUAAGCCGGAUGAAUCCCCAUAAACCCUACUUACUAGAUCGCAAGAAGAACCAAUUGAGCAAAAAGAUCUUAGAAUUGAAGCAAGAAAAAAGAGGAAGAGACUUAAGAAAGAAAAAGAAAAAAAACUAACGUUAAAGGGAAAUUUUUACAGAGAGGCAAAACGUGGGAAUAGAGGGAAUUUUAGGAAAAAUAAAUUGAAAAUAAAAAUAAAUUUUAAGAUAAUACUCUCAAGUCCUUACUACCCUCACUACCAACCACUCCCACAAAAUCCUCAUCCAACGACC
rnacentral:lncRNA from 1 species